GUUAAGCGACUAAGCGUACACGGUGGAUGCCCUGGCAGUCAGAGGCGAUGAAGGACGUGCUAAUCUGCGAUAAGCGUCGGUAAGGUGAUAUGAACCGUUAUAACCGGCGAUUUCCGAAUGGGGAAACCCAGUGUGUUUCGACACACUAUCAUUAACUGAAUCCAUAGGUUAAUGAGGCGAACCGGGGGAACUGAAACAUCUAAGUACCCCGAGGAAAAGAAAUCAACCGAGAUUCCCCCAGUAGCGGCGAGCGAACGGGGAGCAGCCCAGAGCCUGAAUCAGUGUGUGUGUUAGUGGAAGCGUCUGGAAAGGCGCGCGAUACAGGGUGACAGCCCCGUACACAAAAAUGCACAUGCUGUGAGCUCGAUGAGUAGGGCGGGACACGUGGUAUCCUGUCUGAAUAUGGGGGGACCAUCCUCCAAGGCUAAAUACUCCUGACUGACCGAUAGUGAACCAGUACCGUGAGGGAAAGGCGAAAAGAACCCCGGCGAGGGGAGUGAAAAAGAACCUGAAACCGUGUACGUACAAGCAGUGGGAGCACGCUUAGGCGUGUGACUGCGUACCUUUUGUAUAAUGGGUCAGCGACUUAUAUUCUGUAGCAAGGUUAACCGAAUAGGGGAGCCGAAGGGAAACCGAGUCUUAACUGGGCGUUAAGUUGCAGGGUAUAGACCCGAAACCCGGUGAUCUAGCCAUGGGCAGGUUGAAGGUUGGGUAACACUAACUGGAGGACCGAACCGACUAAUGUUGAAAAAUUAGCGGAUGACUUGUGGCUGGGGGUGAAAGGCCAAUCAAACCGGGAGAUAGCUGGUUCUCCCCGAAAGCUAUUUAGGUAGCGCCUCGUGAAUUCAUCUCCGGGGGUAGAGCACUGUUUCGGCAAGGGGGUCAUCCCGACUUACCAACCCGAUGCAAACUGCGAAUACCGGAGAAUGUUAUCACGGGAGACACACGGCGGGUGCUAACGUCCGUCGUGAAGAGGGAAACAACCCAGACCGCCAGCUAAGGUCCCAAAGUCAUGGUUAAGUGGGAAACGAUGUGGGAAGGCCCAGACAGCCAGGAUGUUGGCUUAGAAGCAGCCAUCAUUUAAAGAAAGCGUAAUAGCUCACUGGUCGAGUCGGCCUGCGCGGAAGAUGUAACGGGGCUAAACCAUGCACCGAAGCUGCGGCAGCGACGCUUAUGCGUUGUUGGGUAGGGGAGCGUUCUGUAAGCCUGUGAAGGUGUGUUGUGAGGCAUGCUGGAGGUAUCAGAAGUGCGAAUGCUGACAUAAGUAACGAUAAAGCGGGUGAAAAGCCCGCUCGCCGGAAGACCAAGGGUUCCUGUCCAACGUUAAUCGGGGCAGGGUGAGUCGACCCCUAAGGCGAGGCCGAAAGGCGUAGUCGAUGGGAAACAGGUUAAUAUUCCUGUACUUGGUGUUACUGCGAAGGGGGGACGGAGAAGGCUAUGUUGGCCGGGCGACGGUUGUCCCGGUUUAAGCGUGUAGGCUGGUUUUCCAGGCAAAUCCGGAAAAUCAAGGCUGAGGCGUGAUGACGAGGCACUACGGUGCUGAAGCAACAAAUGCCCUGCUUCCAGGAAAAGCCUCUAAGCAUCAGGUAACAUCAAAUCGUACCCCAAACCGACACAGGUGGUCAGGUAGAGAAUACCAAGGCGCUUGAGAGAACUCGGGUGAAGGAACUAGGCAAAAUGGUGCCGUAACUUCGGGAGAAGGCACGCUGAUAUGUAGGUGAAGUCCCUCGCGGAUGGAGCUGAAAUCAGUCGAAGAUACCAGCUGGCUGCAACUGUUUAUUAAAAACACAGCACUGUGCAAACACGAAAGUGGACGUAUACGGUGUGACGCCUGCCCGGUGCCGGAAGGUUAAUUGAUGGGGUCAGCGCAAGCGAAGCUCUUGAUCGAAGCCCCGGUAAACGGCGGCCGUAACUAUAACGGUCCUAAGGUAGCGAAAUUCCUUGUCGGGUAAGUUCCGACCUGCACGAAUGGCGUAAUGAUGGCCAGGCUGUCUCCACCCGAGACUCAGUGAAAUUGAACUCGCUGUGAAGAUGCAGUGUACCCGCGGCAAGACGGAAAGACCCCGUGAACCUUUACUAUAGCUUGACACUGAACAUUGAGCCUUGAUGUGUAGGAUAGGUGGGAGGCUUAGAAGUGUGGACGCCAGUCUGCAUGGAGCCGACCUUGAAAUACCACCCUUUAAUGUUUGAUGUUCUAACGUUGACCCGUAAUCCGGGUUGCGGACAGUGUCUGGUGGGUAGUUUGACUGGGGCGGUCUCCUCCUAAAGAGUAACGGAGGAGCACGAAGGUUGGCUAAUCCUGGUCGGACAUCAGGAGGUUAGUGCAAUGGCAUAAGCCAGCUUGACUGCGAGCGUGACGGCGCGAGCAGGUGCGAAAGCAGGUCAUAGUGAUCCGGUGGUUCUGAAUGGAAGGGCCAUCGCUCAACGGAUAAAAGGUACUCCGGGGAUAACAGGCUGAUACCGCCCAAGAGUUCAUAUCGACGGCGGUGUUUGGCACCUCGAUGUCGGCUCAUCACAUCCUGGGGCUGAAGUAGGUCCCAAGGGUAUGGCUGUUCGCCAUUUAAAGUGGUACGCGAGCUGGGUUUAGAACGUCGUGAGACAGUUCGGUCCCUAUCUGCCGUGGGCGCUGGAGAACUGAGGGGGGCUGCUCCUAGUACGAGAGGACCGGAGUGGACGCAUCACUGGUGUUCGGGUUGUCAUGCCAAUGGCACUGCCCGGUAGCUAAAUGCGGAAGAGAUAAGUGCUGAAAGCAUCUAAGCACGAAACUUGCC
rnacentral:rRNA from 1 species